GAUGAAGAACGCAGCGAAAUGCGAUAAGUAAUGUGAAUUGCAGAAUUCAGUGAAUCAUCGAAUCUUUGAACGCACCUUGCGCCCUUUGGCCAUUCCGAAGGGCAUGCCUGUUUGAGUAUCAUGAACACCUCAACUCUUUAUGGUUUUCCAUGAUGAGCUUGGACUCUGGGGGUUUUGCUGGCUCACAGUCGGCUCCUCUAAGAUGAAUCAGCUUACCAGUGUUUGGUGGGUAUCAUGGGUGUGAUAACUAUCUACGCUUGUGGUUUUUCCACCAGGUAACCUUCAGCAGUGGAGGUUCGCUGGAGCUCAUAGAUGUCUCUCCUCAGUGAGGACAGCCCUUUGAAUGUUUGAUCUCAAAUCAGGUAGGACUACCCGCUGAACUUAAGCAUAUCAAUAAGCGGAGGA
rnacentral:misc_RNA from 1 species